AAAUUUCAUAUAAUAAAUAAGCUGAACUGAGCUACUCAUGAAAGAUCCGAACUCACUGCGAGCUAAGCUAAGUUGAGCGAGUUAACUCAUUUUGAUACUCCUAAUAUUUAUUUUGUCUAUCAAUAGAGAAGGAACACAAUAUUACUAUAUAGAAAUUCAUUAAAUGGUCAAUAACUGAGCGAGUUUAGAAAAAGGCAAAACCAACCUUUUGAAUGGGGCACAAAAAUUCAGGUCUCAUGAAUUAGAAAAAAAAAUGAAGAAGAUUUGACUGUGGCUGCUGCCCCCUACUUUCCUC
rnacentral:lncRNA from 1 species